rnacentral:misc_RNA from 1 species
GAUGAAGAACGCAGCGAAAUGCGAUAACUAGUGUGAAUUGCAGAAUUCCGUGAAUCAUCGAGUCUUUGAACGCACAUUGCGCCCCCUGGUAUUCCGGGGGGCAUGCCUGUCCGAGCGUCAUUGCUGCCCAUCAAGCACGGCUUGUGUGUUGGGUCGUCGUCCCCUCUCCGGGGGGGACGGGCCCCAAAGGCAGCGGCGGCACCGCGUCCGAUCCUCGAGCGUAUGGGGCUUUGUCACCCGCUCUGUAGGCCCGGCCGGCGCUUGCCGAACGCAAAUCAAUCUUUUUCCAGGUUGACCUCGGAUCAGGUAGGGAUACCCGCUGAACUUAAGCAUAUCAAUAAGCGGAGGA